AGAUUGUGGUCAGACCUCCUGAUGAGGAUUCUCCAGGAGAUCGGGGUGAAGGGGGAGCUACAGGGGGACAAGAUCGUUGUGAGACCUAAUAAGGAGGAUGCUGCAUGAAACUGGGGUUGAUUGAUCAGGUUCUGUGAACAGCACAUUAAUGCACAUGUUUGACAUGGAAGGGUGAGCAAUGUGAUGGAUCUUUCAGAUGUAUUUUGCACGAUGUAUACCCAUCAGCAGAGAGACUGAACCAAGCAGUGGGCUUCAUGCACCUGCAUGGGUUUAUCCCAUGGUCCAUAGUAUGGUGAUCUACCUUCAGUUGUUGGUGACCUAUAGCCCAGUUUCUAUAUUGCAUUGUCCUAUGUUGUAAUAAAUGUCUUAAUGCUUACGUGCUAGUUUUAACUUUCUAUCUGUGAUAAUGUAGUUUUACUGUCCUUUGUUGACAGAUUUUACGAAAUAACUUUUAUUUAUUAUUAAAGUAUGUAUUGUUAUAGUCACGAUAUGGCUGCAGUAUUGCCGAUGUGACACUAAACCUCAACUCACUCCCUCACUCACUCACUCCAUGGGUUUAUACACACAUUGUACAAUACCUCUUCCCAGGCUGGCAGUAUACUCAGACCAGGCACAGGUCAUGGCCUGCAGCAAAAGCCUUUUCUUGCUGGCUAGAGCUUUUGAAGGACAACAGUUGAUGUAUGAGUCUGAUAUGUCAAUGAUAAGUACAUGAAAACACGAUCUGCUGUGACACUAUUGUAUAAUGGAGCUAAAGCUAUAACAGUCAUGAAUUUACAUUAUAAAAAUCCUUCUGAAAUAGUAUGUCUUGCUAUUACAAUAAACAUUGGUAAUACAGUCA